CCUACGGGAGGCUGCAGUGAGGAAUAUUGGUCAAUGGACGAGAGUCUGAACCAGCCAAGUAGCGUGAAGGAUGACUGCCCUAUGGGUUGUAAACUUCUUUUAUCUGGGAAUAAAAUGUUCCACGUGUGGGAUUUUGUAUGUACCAUAUGAAUAAGGAUCGGCUAACCCCGUGCCAGCAGCCGCGGUAAUACGGAGGAUCCGAGCGUUAUCCGGAUUUAUUGGGGUUAAAGGGAGCGUAGAUGGGUUGUUAAGUCAGUUGUGAAAGUUUGCGGGUCAACCGUAAAAUUGCAAUUGAUACUGGCAGUCUUGAGUACAGUUGAGGUAGGCGGAAUUCGUGGUGUAGCGGUGAAAUGCUUAGAUAUCACGAAGAACCCCGAUUGCGAAGGCAGCAUACCGGUGCACAACUGACGCUCAGGCACGAAAGCGUGGGUAUCGAACAGGAUUAGAUACCCCAGUAGUC
rnacentral:rRNA from 1 species